UUUUUGCAUAUAGAAAUAGAUAAAUAGAUAGAUAGAUAAAUACUUUAUUCAUCCCCUAUAAGGGGAAAUUCAUCUGCCCGAGAGCAUACAUACAAGACACAAUUCAUCCAUACAAUAAAAUACCAAUAAAUAAGACAAAUGUAAAA